rnacentral:lncRNA from 1 species
UUAACCAAACGUGCAACAACAUAAGUAGACAUAUUGGACGUUAGUUUGUCUAAUUGCCUACAUUACAACCAUCCAACAUAAGUUCUCAGCAUAAAUCAGAACACGCUCCUAGGGAGCUCCACAGAAGCAAACUGCAGACAGAAACAGCAUGGCCGCCUCCACCAAGAUUGGCAGAGAAGCCGAUGAACAGCACCGAAGGAGUGGAUUCAACGAGGAGGAGGAGAAAGGCCGUCAUGAUGAAGAUGAUGAAUUUUUUGAGCUGGAUCUGGAGGUGUUGAACAGCAUCCCCGUGGCUAGCUACUACGAGCACCAUGCCACCACCAGAGAAGCUCUCCUGGCGAACUGCCUCCUCCCCAUCAAAUACGUAAGCAAGGCUAUUCCCACAGACAGGAACUCAUGCAUUCGCCCUCCCCCCAAGAGAUCAGUCAUCCACAGAGAGUACACCAUUGGUUCCCACCGAUGGAUGUUGGAAUGAGAGACGCAUGAAAAAUGAUUCAUGCAUUUGUUUGAAUAAAGAUAACAAAUAUGUACCCAAAAACAUUAGUAUUGGGCACUUACAGAGUCUUCUCUUUUUUUUUCCUUUUUUUUUAAGGGGAGUUAUGGUGCUUUGUUACAGAAAAGGCCUCCAAAAACAACUCAUGUGGUCAUGAUUUGUCUCACUCAAAAAGACCUCAAAAGCAAAUCACCUUUCUUGAGGAAAGUGAAGGUCUCUAUUCAGUAGGAUCUAUCUCCUUGUCUGGGAUUCUCAAGUGACAACACUAAUCCUACUCUGGAUUAGUCACCGUGAACAUCGGUGCAAUGGGGGUUCUUAUUAUUGUUGGUUUUCUUUUAAUGUUUGUAGACCAGUGAAGACAUGGUUGAAUGAACCAAUGGCAGCACCAAUAGUUCUCCUUUAGUAUGGUAGGAAAUAUGUAAUGUGAAACUCUCAAGUUUGUGUACAUCAGGCACAUCCAUUGUCCGUGUGUCCGCAAUUUUUUGUCUCGGCAUAUCCAUUUUUCCCCUCGCGCGAGGACAGAAGGGAGUUGAACGAACUUAGUUUUUCCUUUUGGGCCAAAAAAAAGGAGUAACUACAAAAAGUCGGUAGGCUGGUGCCGACUCUAUGGAAUCAUCACGGCCCACGAAAACCGAUCAUGCAAUGAUGUGUUUCAGUUUCAACGUCGAUGGCGUACCCUGCGGACAGAAAGAUACAUGGCUGUCAUCCUAUGCCACUAAAAAUGUUAUUUCACUUGAUAAAACCAACGCAUAUUUCUCCUUGGUGCACUCCUGUUGUUUCUUUCCUUGAGAUAACAGAGGACAUUUCCGAAAACUUUAUAUGUACACACACACAGCGAGAGAUGCAUUUCUGAGUGUGUAUGAGCGUGU